CUGGGACUCGGGCUCCAGAAACGCCGCUGCGGCACCAGAGUAGGCUGCCACGGCGUUCCCACCGGCUUAUAUCCGCAUGGAGUGGAACGUGCCCGAGAUGGAGAGGAGAAAUAUAAUGGGGAGGGAGAGCAGGGGGAGGGGGACGGGUUAAAUUCAGCGAAAGAACUUCUUCAUGGGACGUCUCUGAUACACAGAAGGUAUUUAAACAGGACUGAAUGACACGAGAAAGAAGGAGGCCUGC